ensembl:lncRNA
UUCAAACACCUUUUUGUCCCUCACGGUAGUGUGGAUUAGAGAGUGUCCUUUAAACAUACUGUAUUUCCUUUGAGAAAUAAAGUAUAGAAGUCAAAAGCAUGAACAUGCACACGUGUGUGUCUAAAAAUAUUGUCACUAAUAACAAACAAGGGUUGAUAAUAAAAAUAAAAAAAAACCUUUAUUUAUAUAGUACCUUUAGAACAGCAUUUAUUAUAAUUACAAUCAUACAUCUUAAUUGACCUACAAAGUGUGCAUGUAUUGGAUCACAGGAUUGGAUUGUCAUUCACUGAUCAGUCAGUCAGCAUGACAGCUGGACAAACUGUAGUGUUUACUGUUGUGUUUAUUGGGAUCCAGAAAAACAAUCAUAAAAUAAUCACAAUCUCUAUUCUCUAACAUACAAAAAAGAACACAACAUUAUAUCUGCCGCUAUUUCCUCCCAUGAUUCCUCACAUCAGGUUCUGCAAAUGUCUAUUGUACCUUAAUGAAGUUUAAUGUGAUUCUAAUCUCUCAUUCUCUCUUGAAGAAGCUGACGGGUCAUAAUACUGGUCAUGGCAUGGCACCUGGAAUGAAUGAAAUCAUGUCAGCUCUUCACGCACCCCUUAGCAGGCAGCACAGUGGCUGUUUCAAAGAGGGCCUUCCUGCGGCUGAAUAGAUCACGCAUGACCAUUUUUGCCCAGGAGCUGGCUGUCCUGGUAUUCACAAAGGAGGGCCUUGCACAGUCCACCCUUACUGGAAAGUCUGGGAGGGGGGGGCCGCCAAAAACACAGAUUGAUGUUGCCAAAGUGCAGGCUAUUACAGGUAUGUAAUUGUUUUGAGUUACAUGUAGUCUAUUUAAAAGCUUCAGUGAUUUCUAUAGCAGCUAGAUCACACGGAAACUGACCACCAGUAAUUACUAAAUACAUGUUAGACUAUUUACUGGUAGCAGUAUUGGUAUACCAUACUGAUAACAUUUCUCAGAGUUUCCAGAGGGGUAUUCCAGAAAGCAGGUUAUGUGAAAACUUGAACCCUGAGAUUUGUUUUUCUGAAUGGGAGGUAUCUUAAGGGGGUCGCACACCGGAUGAGAAGCGCAGUGCCGCGCCGCGUCGCGUGUAGGACAACUCGAGGUAUCGCACACCAGACACGCUUUUUCUCAGUUUAUGGCCAAUAUUGUUAUGUUUAAGGACAUCAUGGAAUUAAGAUAAUGUCUGUAAUAUGUUAUGAUUGUACUGUUAAAUACAAUCGUUGCUAAGUCUGCAGUCUGAACACUUUACCUCAGAGCGUCCAUUAACUGAAUGAAUUGAGAAUAUCACCUGAAAAUCCGAUAACUUCAGCAGUUUUCAUCCACGCAGCUGAUUUCUGUAAAUGAAUGCAAAACUAAAUGUAUAUUGCAGCACUGGGUGACGUCAGUAUAUACAUUAACGACGAUUUGUGACAAAUAAAUGUAAAUUUAAUAUAAAACUAUGUAAAUGG